UACGUAGGGUGCAAGCGUUGUCCGGAAUCACUGGGCGUAAAGGGCGCGUAGGUGGCCUGUGGAAGUCUGCGGUGAAAGCCCGGCGCUCAACGCCGGGUCGGCCGUGGAUACUCUCGGGCUCGAGCUUACUAGAGGCAGAUGGAAUUCCGGGUGUAGCGGUGGAAUGCGUAGAGAUCCGGAAGAACACCGGUGGCGAAGGCGGUCUGCUGGGGUAAUGCUGACACUGAUGCGCGACAGCGUGGGGAGCAAACAGG
rnacentral:rRNA from 1 species